ACGAACGCUGGCGGCAGGCCUAACACAUGCAAGUCGAACGCCCUAGCAAUAGGGAGUGGCAGAUGGGUGAGUAACGCGUGGGAACCUUCCCAGUGGUACGGAAUAACCCAUCGAAAGGUGGGCUAAUACCGCAUACGCCCGCAAGGGGAAAGAUUUAUCGCCAAGGGAUGAGCCCGCGUAGGAUUAGGUAGUUGGUGGGGUAAAGGCCUACCAAGCCGACGAUCCUUAGCUGGUCUGAGAGGAUGAUCAGCCACACUGGGACUGAGACACGGCCCAGACUCCUACGGGAGGCAGCAGUGGGGAAUAUUGGACAAUGGGCGAAAGCCUGAUCCAGCAAUGCCGCGUGAGUGAUGAAGGCCUUAGGGUCGUAAAGCUCUUUUACCAGGGAUGAUAAUGACAGUACCUGGAGAAUAAGCUCCGGCUAACUCCGU
rnacentral:rRNA from 1 species